rnacentral:rRNA from 1 species
GACGAACGCUGGCGGCGUGCCUAAUACAUGCAAGUAGAACGCUGAAGAGAGGAGCUUGCUCUUCUUGGAUGAGUUGCGAACGGGUGAGUAACGCGUAGGUAACCUGCCUUGUAGCGGGGGAUAACUAUUGGAAACGAUAGCUAAUACCGCAUAACAAUAGGUGACACAUGUCAUUUAUUUGAAAGGGGCAAUUGCUCCACUACAAGAUGGACCUGCGUUGUAUUAGCUAGUAGGUGAGGUAACGGCUCACCUAGGCGACGAUACAUGGCCGACCUGAGAGGGUGAUCGGCCACACUGGGACUGAGACACGGCCCAGACUCCUACGGGAGGCAGCAGUAGGGAAUCUUCGGCAAUGGGGGCAACCCUGACCGAGCAACGCCGCGUGAGUGAAGAAGGUUUUCGGAUCGUAAAGCUCUGUUGUAAGUCAAGAACGAGU